AUGAACGCUAGCUAUAGGCUUAACACAUGCAAGUCGAGGGGCAGCGAAUAGAUAGCUUGCUAUUUAUGUCGGCGACCGGCGCACGGGUGAGUAACGCGUAUCCAACCUGCCCAUAACUAAGGGAUAACCCAGCGAAAGUUGGACUAAUACCUUAUGUAUUCGUUUGAUCUCAUGAGAUUACGAAUAAAGAUUUAUCGGUUAUGGAUGGGGAUGCGUCUGAUUAGCUUGUUGGCGGGGUAACGGCCCACCAAGGCAACGAUCAGUAGGGGUUCUGAGAGGAAGGUCCCCCACAUUGGAACUGAGACACGGUCCAAACUCCUACGGGAGGCAGCAGUGAGGAAUAUUGGUCAAUGGACGCAAGUCUGAACCAGCCAAGUAGCGUGCAGGAUGACGGCCCUAUGGGUUGUAAACUGCUUUUAUAUGGGGAUAAAGUGGGGAACGUGUUCCCUUUUGCAGGUACCAUAUGAAUAAGAACCGGCUAAUUCCGUG
rnacentral:rRNA from 1 species